rnacentral:rRNA from 1 species
UAGGGAAUCUUCGGCAAUGGGGGGAACCCUGACCGAGCAACGCCGCGUGAGUGAAGAAGGUUUUCGGAUCGUAAAGCUCUGUUGUUAAGGAAGAACGAGUGUGAGAAUGGAAAGUUCAUACUGUGACGGUACUUAACCAGAAAGGGACGGCUAACUACGUGCCAGCAGCCGCGGUAAUACGUAGGUCCCGAGCGUUGUCCGGAUUUAUUGGGCGUAAAGCGAGCGCAGGCGGUUAGCUAAGUCUGAAGUUAAAGGCAGUGGCUCAACCAUUGUAGUCUUUGGAAACUGGUUAACGUGAAUGCAGGAGGGGGGAGUGGAAUUCCAUGUGUCGCGGGGAAAUGGAUAGGUGUAUGGAGGAACACCGGUGACGAAAGCGGCUCUCUAGUCAGUAACUGACGCUGAGGCUCGAAAGCGUGGGGAGCGAACAGG